rnacentral:rRNA from 1 species
UACGGAGGGUGCAAGCGUUAUCCGGAUUCACUGGGUUUAAAGGGUGCGUAGGCGGCUAUUUAAGUCAGUGGUGAAAGCUUCCCGCUUAACGGGAAAACUGCCAUUGAAACUGAAUAGCUUGAGUACGAUUGAUGUGGGCGGAAUACAUCAUGUAGCGGUGAAAUGCUUAGAUAUGAUGUAGAACACCGAUUGCGAAGGCAGCUCACAAAAUCGCAACUGACGCUGAGGCACGAAAGCGUGGGGAGCAAACAGG